rnacentral:lncRNA from 1 species
GUGAGGAGGGAGGUUUAGGUGACAACAUCCCCGUGCAGCAUUUCGUCGAUCAGAGCCCGCACAAUGGCCACGUGGGACAAGCGUAGGUGUAAACAUGGGCACUGCUAAUGUUGAGGAUGUGCGGGGAAGACACAGGUUGGAAAGUAGGCAAAACCUACCAUAAUUUAGUGAAAUGAAAAAAAAUAGAUGUGGUAAUUUGUGCCAUAAUACUUAAAUAAGAUAAGUUUGUAGAAAUUCAGUUAAAUGAGAUAGAUA